rnacentral:rRNA from 1 species
GUCCACGCCCUAAACGAUGAUGACUAGUUGUUGGGGAGUUAAAUCCCUUAGUAACGCAGCUAACGCGUGAAGUAAUCCGCCUGGGGAGUACGGUCGCAAGAUUAAAACUCAAAGGAAUUGACGGGGCCCGCACAAGCGGUGGAUGAUGUGGUUUAAUUCGAUGCAACGCGAAAACCUUACCUACCCUUGACAUGCCAGGAAUGCUGCAGAAAUGCAGUGGUGCCCGAAAGGGAACCUGGACACAGGUGCUGCAUGGCUGUCGU